rnacentral:rRNA from 1 species
AGAGUUUGAUCCUGGCUCAGGAUGAACGCUGGCGGCGUGCUUAACACAUGCAAGUCGAACGAGCCUUCGGGCUAGUGGCGGACGGGUGAGUAACGCGUGGAAAUCUGCCCUCAGGAGGGGGAUAACGGCCGGAAACGGCCGCUAAUACCCCAUAUGCCGAGAGGUGAAACGAAUUUCGCCUGAGGAUGAGCCCGCGUCUGAUUAGCUAGUUGGUGAGGUAAUGGCUCACCAAGGCAUCGAUCAGUAGCUGGUCUGAGAGGAUGAUCAGCCACACUGGGACUGAGACACGGCCCAGACUCCUACGGGAGGCAGCAGUGGGGAAUUUUCCGCAAUGGGCGCAAGCCUGACGGAGCAACGCCGCGUGAGGGACGAAGGCCUCUGGGCUGUAAACCUCUUUUCUCAAGGAAGAAGACAUGACGGUACUUGAGGAAUAAGCCACGGCUAAUUCCGUGCCAGCAGCCGCGGUAAUACGGGAGUGGCAAGCGUUAUCCGGAAUUAUUGGGCGUAAAGCGUCCGCAGGCGGCCUUGAAAGUCUGUUGUUAAAGCGUGGAGCUCAACUCCAUUUCAGCAAUGGAAACUACAAGGCUAGAGUGUGGUAGGGGCAGAGGGAAUUCCCGGUGUAGCGGUGAAAUGCGUAGAUAUCGGGAAGAACACCAGUGGCGAAGGCGCUCUGCUGGGCCAUAACUGACGCUCAUGGACGAAAGCCAGGGGAGCGAAAGGGAUUAGAUACCCCUGUAGUCCUGGCCGUAAACGAUGAACACUAGGUGUCGGGAGAAUUAACCCUUUCGGUGUCGUAGCCAACGCGUUAAGUGUUCCGCCUGGGGAGUACGCACGCAAGUGUGAAACUCAAAGGAAUUGACGGGGGCCCGCACAAGCGGUGGAGUAUGUGGUUUAAUUCGAUGCAACGCGAGGAACCUUACCAGGGUUUGACAUCCUGCGAAUCCUUUGGAAACUUAGGAGUGCCUUCGGGAGCGCAGUGACAGGUGGUGCAUGGCUGUCGUCAGCUCGUGUCGUGAGAUGUUGGGUUAAGUCCCGCAACGAGCGCAACCCACGUCUUUAGUUGCCAGCAUUUAGUUGGGCACUCUAGAGAGACCGCCGGUGAUAAACCGGAGGAAGGUGUGGAUGACGUCAAGUCAUCAUGCCCCUUACAUCCUGGGCUACACACGUACUACAAUGCUACGGACAAAGGGCAGCAAACUCGCGAGAGCUAGCAAAUCCCAUAAACCGUGGCUCAGUUCAGAUCGUAGGCUGCAACUCGCCUACGUGAAGGAGGAAUCGCUAGUAAUCGCAGGUCAGCAUACUGCGGUGAAUACGUUCCCGGGCCUUGUACACACCGCCCGUCACACCAUGGAAGUUGGCCAUGGCCGAAGUCGUUACUCCAACCCGCAAGGGAGGAGGACGCCGAAGGUGGGGCUGAUGACUGGGGUUAAGUCGUAACAAGGUA